GGGAACAGUUUAAGAUAUUGGAGGAAUGAGGUGAGGGCUUCUUUUAAUUUCACACAGUCCACUAAAAUAGAAUAAACCUCUAUCCCUUCUGGGGUCCUUAGCAGAUCCAGAAACUUGUGCAACCUCUGUGAGUUAUAGCAGCUCUGACUCUACAAAGAAUGCAGACAAGGACAAGGUUCUCUGCAGGACCUCAGGAUCCCUAUAGCUCCAUGUGUCUCUGUGCCACUGGAUAGCACUUCCAGAGAGGAGGAGACCCUACUGUCAGGAGAGCAGCAGAUCGGGCACAGGCGGGGGCUUAGACGCAGAGCUUUGAGCCACAAGGGCUAUGAUUCCAUGGGUGGAAACUGGGACUGUCAUUCCUUCUCAUUCUGUAGUUCUUCACAUACACAGCCAUUAUGUAUGCAAGAGGGCCUGGUCCAUCCCCAGGAUCGCCUUGCAGGCUGUCCCCAUGGACCACCCUUCACCACCAGUCAUGGGCUAUGGGCCACCUCCCCCUCCUCCACCAGCUCCUCCACGUACUAAAUUUGGUAUGAUGACCUGAACUGGAUGAGUGACUGAUAAAGUGUAUUCAUUUUCUUCGUGAAAGACUUGGUGGGAAUGAUGUAGGGAUGCUUGUGAGGGCUUGACAAUUCAACUGCAAACCUGCCUGAGGACAGUGUCACAUAUCUCAAGUUUCUCAGGACAUAGUGUACAAUGGGCUGUGUCACUUCCCUGUAAUGAGGUCAGCUGUAGGUUUCUCUUGUCAAAAAGAAAGAAGAUUUUUACACAGAGGCAGACGUACCGGGAGCACUGGUGCCUGUCUUAGACACAAUGUUUUGAGCUCUGUGAAGGAUGAGAGAUGCACCCCUAAGUGUAGGUGCCUCAGGUGUCCUGUCUGAAGGGGGGCACAUGCAUUAUAUGACACAGACCUUGUGGUCACCAUAGUGGAAGUACCAGUGAAGGAUCCAGUGCAAAACUGGGGGAACUUGAAUCACGCAGGAAUAGAAGGGAAGUUGAGCACAGUAAGCAGAGUUUGAGGAGGUGCAGAGGGGAGGGUGCUGGGAUCAGUGAGAUGCAGUUGGAGGCCAUUCCUGGCCACAGCCUGAGCAGGGAGCAUGAGAUCCACACGGAGCUGCUAUGUGGGAUCACUCUCAGUGCACAAUGCAGUGUUUAUCUCCAAAACGUCAGUGCUGCCAAAGUGCACCUAGGCAAUCAUCUAAAUGGAUUGUUUUCUCCCUGGGUUUUCUAAAGGUUCUGGAUAUUUGUGGGAAAAAAUGCCCAGCAGAUAUGGGAAGUUUAACUUGGUCUUAUGGAAAUGCUUGCCUAAGUUCAUAUCCCUCAGUGAAACUAAAAAUGAAGAAAGGAUCUAGGUCAGCUGAGUGCCUGAACUGGCUUUCAGCCGGAGUCAGACUCCAGUGGGUCAACCUACAAUUCAGGGUUGGCCAAGUUGCCACCCCUGCUGGACCCCUGUCAUCACCCUGACUACAGCUUUCCAUCUCCUCAGACUUCUCUCACAAUAUCCCAAGGUUUUCCCUUUGUUCCUGCUGUCUCAGCCCUAAUACCAGUUCUCAGUGGGACCUACACAGAGCCUCAGCUGUGGUAUCGGUGAAAACAGGGGUAAUAUUUGUUUCCAAGAACAUUAUAAAAAGAAGACAUUAAAUACGUAAAGCCUCUAAAAAAUGUCUGGGAAGUGUCCACUCACCCUUCUCAUAGUUUCAAUUAAGAUAUCUCCACACAAUGAUCAUCAAAAAAAUACAGUCAUGGGAGUUCAUUAAAACUGUUAACACCUCAGCCCAGGGAUUGGCAAAUGCCCUUUUAAACAUAAGACAAGGUCCCUCAUUUUUCUAUUAAAAUUUAGGCCUUACCAGACAAAGAAAGAAAAUUAUGAGAACAUGUACAUUCA